rnacentral:lncRNA from 1 species
AGGAGGACAGGGAGAGCUGGGAAGCCACGGUGCUGAGGGGGAUGGGUCUCUCAGUGGCCAGCUGUGACCCCAGCCUCCCCUCUGCUUUGCAGGGGACCUAAGUCUCCAUUUACAGAACUCACUAUUUGCCUCUUGUGGGGGAAGUCCCCAGAUGUCAGCCUUCUCGUGGGAAUUAUAAGAAGUAUGAGCCCCAGAGCUCCUUUAGUCUCUCCCCAGCCAGAGUCCACAUAUUUUCCCCCAUGUUUUGUGGGUGAAAAGGCCCUUCAGAACCCUAAAUCCACCCAGUUUAUAUUUGUUGCUGGGCUGCGUCAUUCUAGUCAGAAUCUGGGAGGAUGCCACCAUACGUAGAGGAGGCCAUGAGGGUCUCACCUGUAACAUUCUGUAGAUAUGACUUGUUUAUUCUGUCUACUGUGAGUGCCUGACUCUGAGUAGAAUCAAGGCCGGGGGAUUGUCAUCUGCUUUGUUUAUGAAAUUAUGCCAAGCCCCAAGAAGAGCGAUGCACAAAUGAGGUGUUUUGAAUGUAUGUGUUGAAUGAGUGAACCCCAACCUUUGGAGAACCCCAGUGAGCCUCUCCAGAUGUCUGAGUGGGCCUGUGGCUCCUUUUUCAGCACCAAGGGACCCCUCUUCUGUCUGUGUCAAGGAGAAAGACCAGCCAGAAGGAAUCUCAGACAUCCUUUACCAGUGCCAUCGCAGACUUGGUUUCUAUGUGUUUUUCCAAACAGUGAGUGAUACAGGCCAUUGAGGCAGAAUGCUGAGAGCUGCUUCAAGUGAGGGGGAAGAGAAAAGUAACAAACAUGAAUCACAGCACCCCCAGCAGAUUUUCCAGAGUUUUAGGCUCUAGGGACCCCUUUGUUUGCUGUGUCUUAGAUCAUUGAGUCCCUACAAGAACCCUGUGAGGUUCGUCUUCUCACUACUCCCUGUUCCAGAGGAGCCAACCGAGGCUCCGAGAGGUGCAUCUUCAAGACAGAGCCAGUAGGGGACAGAGGCACCUCUGUGUCUUGGAGGGGGAUGGACACUCACCUUCUAACCAGUAGUUCCAAAAAGUGUGGCACAGUGAUAAAGUCCCAGGAGGGGCCCAGGCAGGUGGCAUAGGAGGAGAUGGGUUUAGUUAGAAAGGCUGGAACCAGGGACUCCCAACAGCUUCUCCCCAGUGCCGGGCUGGAAAGUUAGCAUCCUGCAGAUCUCAUUUUCAUACUAGGGGGACAAGGAGGGACAUGGGAGUCAGUGGUAACACCAUGGACCACCAGAGGAUCGGGAUCUGGAACUCACACCAAGAAGCACCAACCCUUCAGGGACUUGUGCAUAUGGAGAACCUGGGUGCCCAUGGUGAAAAGCGUUCUAGGCUUUCAAAGUAACAUUGCAUGUGAGGAUGGAGAAUGAUAAAACGAUUCCUGCCUUCAAGGCAUCGUCCCGGUGUUUGUCAGCUGUGGGGCAACAGCACCCUCUGUGUCAGCAACCUGCAUGAAGAGCAUCAUCCCUGCAAGUCCUCAAGGCCUGGGGAGGCCUCAUCCCCUCCUCAUUUCAGCAACAGCACACAGGACAAUACGCUCUAGAAGAACUCUUUGACUUAAAGGUAUAUGAUUGUUUUUGUUCCUUUAACAUGAACGUGAGUCUGGAGAAACAGCUACGGCCAUCCCAGCCCUGGCCAAGGGGAAAAUGCCGGAAGACUCCAGGGUGGGAGGAAGCGCGUCCCAAGGCCCAGGAUCUGCGAGGCGACUUGGGGAAAACGCAGGACCUGCUGAAGCUCACACCCGUGGACCACCCAGACUGCCUGCCGCUACAGGAUGCCCUCCGCAUCUCCCAGGACUUCUUUCCGGCAUCAGUGUGGACAUUGACCCCACUGGACUGCAGUCACAGUGGACUCCCAAGGGGCAGGAUCCACCUCUGAUGUUCAGUGAAGACUACCAGAAAAGUCUGCUAGAGCAGUACCAUCUGGGUCUGGAUCAAAAACUCAGAAAAUACGUGGUUGGAGAGCUCAUCUGGAAUUUUGCCGAUUUCAUGACUAACCAGUGUCAGCCCAAGACUACCCCGUCGGUCAUUCUGUUCCUGCCGUCCUGUGAGGAGCCCCAAGCCAACAAGGCCACACUGGUGUGUCUCAUGAAUAACUUUAUCCGGGAAUCUUGAUGGUGACCUGGAAGGCAGAUGGUACCCUCAUCACCCAGAGCGUGGAGAAGACCACGCCCUCCAAACAGAGCAACAACAAGUACGUGGCCAGCAGCUACCUGAGCCUGACGCCCGAGCAGUGGAGGUCCCGCAGAAGCUACAGCUGCCAGGUUAUGCAAGAAGGGAGCACCGUGGAGAAGUCAGUGGCCCCUGCAGAAUGUUCAUAGGUUCCAGCCCCCACCCCACCCACAGGGGCCUGGAGCUGCAGGAUCCCAGGGGAGGGGUCUCUCUCUGCAUCCCAAGCCAUUCAGCCCUUCUCGCUGUACCCAGUAAACCCUCAAUAAAUAUCUUUGUCAGCCA